rnacentral:rRNA from 1 species
UACGUAGGGGGCAAGCGUUGUCCGGAAUCAUUGGGCGUAAAGCGCGUGUAGGCGGCCUUGUAAGUCCGUUCUGAAAGCCCGGGGCUCAACCCCGGGAGGCGGAUGGAUACUGCAAGGCUCGAGUCCGGAAGAGGCGAGUGGAAUUCCGUGUGUAGCGGUGAAAUGCGUAGAUAUACGGAGGAACACCAGAGGCGAAGGCGGAUCGCUGGGCCAACACUGACGCUGAGACGCGAAAGCUAGGGUAGCAAACGGG